AGGUAUGUUUAGCAAUUUAUGCAAACGUUUGUUUCCUGUUUUGUUCCCAUUCCACUAGAUUUGGCAUUGCAAUUGUAUUUUGUACGUUCAUGAAAAUGGGGAUGUUUGCCUUUCACAAUUUCAGUAAAAAGGGGGAAGAGAUACAUCAGCGAACAAACACAAAACUUGAGCAAUGGAGAGGCACUAAAUCUCUUAAUUUGGUUGAAUGGUGUUGUACUUACUGUUAGCUGUUCUGAGGUGCUUAAAGGGUGAAUUACUAACUGCCACACAGAAUAGGCCUUGAAGAUCAAGCCUAUGCAUUUGAAGAAUCAUUUGGCUUUCAAAGUCCACAAGCUCUAUGGAGGAUGGAAAGUUAUAACUUGGUUUAAUUACAAAGGCUGUUUAUUACAAUUGGAGAUUUUGUAAUGCAUACUGCAACUUCAAAGUUUUGAUUUGUUCUCUUUGAUGUAGUUGACUAUGGUUGAUGAUUACUUUUCCUAACUUUAUGGGAAAUCAAGUUUCA